GCGCCUGUAGCUCAGUUGGACAGAGCGGCUGACUUCGGAUCAGUAGGUCGGGGGUUCGAAUCCUCCCAGGCGUA
rnacentral:tRNA from 1 species